rnacentral:rRNA from 1 species
GACGAACGCUGGCGGCGUGCUUAACACAUGCAAGUCGAACGGAAAGGCCCUGCUUGCAGGGUACUCGAGUGGCGAACGGGUGAGUAACACGUGGGUGAUCUGCCCUGCACUUCGGGAUAAGCCUGGGAAACUGGGUCUAAUACCGGAUAGGAGCCAUUUUUAGUGUGAUGGUUGGAAAGUUUUUUUCGGUGUAGGAUGAGCUCGCGGCCUAUCAGCUUGUUGGUGGGGUAAUGGCCUACCAAGGCGGCGACGGGUAGCCGGCCUGAGAGGGUGGACGGCCACAUUGGGACUGAGAGACGGCCCAGACUCCUACGGGAGGCAGCAGUGGGGAAUAUUGCACAAUGGGCGCAAGCCUGAUGCAGCGACGCCGCGUGGGGGAGGACGGCCUUCGGGUUGUAAACUCCUUUCGCUAGGGACGAAGCUUUUUGUGACGGUACCUAGAUAAGAAGCACCGGCUAACUACGUG